ensembl:lncRNA novel transcript, sense intronic to YARS2
GAAAAAUCCAAAUCCAAAAGCUUCAUUUUUAUUUUUGGUAUUUAAUAAGAUUCUUUUCUGGCAAAGAAUUCAAGGUAAAAGAUUUUUAUACACACUUUAGUAUUACAACUAUUUUAAUUAUUACUAGUAAUUAAAACCUCUGUUCUGUGCAUACUGUUUUUUCCAAGAAACCCUCUUAUUAUAAUAAAAUCUUGAGUCAUUUCAGCUAUGUGCAAAGUUGAUAAAGUCACUGACUGAAUUUUUUUAAAAAGCUUGAUGCUUAAAUGCUUAAAUAAAUGCUUAAAUCUACUUUUAAGCAUUUAUGUCAGUGAAUUCAAAAUACUAUUAUCUUUAAAUCACUCAAAACCCAUUUUAAACUUGUAUGCCUUUACUCAGUUAGUUCCAAUGGAGUGUUAAAGGGAGGAAAAGAAGAAAAAAUUACUCCUAGGACUGAGUAAUAUUCUGAGCUCAUCAAUCUAUCUUUAGGUAUUGGGAAUAUGCAUUAAAAACAUUUUUUUACCUUGUCUCGUGAUACAGCUGAAGGUAAUUCUCUGGCUAGCCUGUUUCUCCUUUGUUCCUAAGAAACACAAGCAAAACAAAAGUGAUUAUCCAAGUAUUGAGAUAUAUGCCUACUAAAAAAUGUUCAUGUUAAUUGAAAAGUGUGGAGUAACUUACAGAUACAUCCUCUCACUGUUGGGACUCAUGCCAUAAUUAUCAUAUUUUAAAAUAAAUAAGAAAUCAUUUAACCCAAA